AGGGAUAUGGAAUUUCUUGUUAAAGAAACCUAUAACUGGUUUGCUAGAUCUUCCUUAAGACAGGAGGCCUAUGUUAAUUUAUUUAAACUAAUAAAUGAUGGACAUUAACCUCUGAAAAUUGUACAAGAUUGCCAAGCAAGAUGGUUAUCUAUAGCUUCUACUGUACAAAGAGUUUGUGGCCAAUGGUUGGACUUAAAAACUCAUUUUAGUUUGUUUUUUACUUUAAACCGAAAGGUGUUGCACAUCGAAAAUGCUCUAUUCUAUAUACAGUGAUGAAUAUUAUCACGGUUAUUUGUAAUUUUUUGAUCGGUACUAAAUUAUGUCCAAAGAGUCAACAAGAUUUUUGUGUUCAAUGAUAGUGAUCUUACCAAAUUGAUUAAAGACUUGAAUGUUUUGGUUGGAAAUUUUGUAAAUAGAGGGAUACUUCCUAUCAAUCAGCAUCGGGUUGAUCAUUUCACCUCUAAUCUAGAAGAAUACCUCGUGCCUAAAUUGUACUCAAGAUAUGAAGUGAAAAUUUCCUCUCUAACAAGACCCAUCACUUGUUAGAGGAUCGAGAUCGAUGAUCCCAAUUUUUGAUGAAGCUUAUUAAAAAACUUAGAAAUAGGCUACCCGAUAAUGUGAAAUUAUUAAAAACAAUGUAAAUGUUAAGUUUUGGAAGCACGUGAAAAAGUUCAUAUUACCCUUAGUAAAAUCUUAGGAUAUACCUUCUUAGCCCAGAGGACACAACAAAAAUAGUAAUUCAAUAACCCUUGUCAAAUGGCUAGAAACAAAAGACACAAUAUAAUUUUGGAUAGAGGUAGACCUAUAAAGGAUGCGUCUAGGCUAAAUACUUUUGCUGAGCUUAAUUUUAUUGCCUUAACAAUAUUGAAAUUGCCUCAUUCCAAUGCUGAAGUUGAAAGUGUAUUCAUCCAAAUGAAUUUAAUGAAAACCAAGUUAAGAAAUAAAAUGGUUCCUGAAACAGUAAAUGUACUACUUCAUUUAAGAUAGAAUAAUGUAUUUAUAAAAAAAAAUAUUUAGCCAAUUUUGAGCUGUUUUUUGUUUAAACUAGAUAAUUUUUAGCUAUUUUAGAAGUACAUUCAGCUGAUUUUUCUUAAAACCACCUCACAACACUUUGACUGUAAAUAACAUUAACUAUUAACUUCUCCUAAGUAUUUUACUGAUCGGCAACAAGCAUCUUCCCUUCGGAGCUCUGUCACGUGAAUCAUGCCAAAGAAACCGUGCCUUUUUUCGUGGGUCUCUAACAACGGAGGUACUGAUGUAUGGAAUUAUGAUUUGGGGAAUAAGAGUAUAUCUUGCCGUGUUUGCAAAUUCUCGUGCCCAUCUCGUUCUUUAUGGCAAGUAAUCCGCCACUCCAAAACGUCCCAUCACAUCAACAACUUAAAAGUCAUCAAGAAACACAAGAUUCAAGGAGAUGAAGGAGAACUCAACGCCACAUCGUUCAAUUUGGACAUAGCAAAGUUACUUGUGUCGUGUAACAUUCCUUUAAAUGUUGUGGAUCAUUCCAAUUUCUGCAAGUUUGUUGAAAAAUAUACUGGGAAGACUUCUCCUGGUCGAUGGGUCGUUACUAACUUAGUUGGGGAUGUAUGUCAAGGAGUUUUGGAUAGAAUAAAAGAAGAGGUAAAAGAAAAGGAUAUUUUCGUUGCAUUAGAUGAGACAAGAGAUCAAGGGAGUUCAAUCACGGCAAUAUUUAUUGGCUCUUUGGACGAAAAUUUCUGUGGUAGACCUUACUUAAUAGACUUUAUUGAGAUUGCAAAUGCUAACAAUGUUAAGAACAUCGUCUGUAGCUCAGUUUAUAAUUUAUUGGGAGAAGAUUUUGCCCAGUAUAGACUUAAAGUUUUCAUCACUGAUAACACCUCGUAUUGUAUCGAAGCAGGUGAAGAUCUUAGAACAAAUUUCCCAGAAUUGAUUCACAUUACAUGUGAUUUACAUGGAUUACAUAGAGAUGCAGAUAUGGUUCAACAAAAGUUUCCUCUAACAAAUGAACUAAUUUCGAAUGUGAAGAAAAUGUUUUUGAAUUCUGCAAGAAGAAAGCGAGUGAUGAAUAUUAUAAAUAAGAAAAGGAAGUCCAAUCUAAGUGCUAAGAAAUUGAGGGAAAUACUGAUCACCAAAUGUAAUGAAUGUUUUGUAAACAUUUAAUUGUCAACAAAUUUCUUGCCAAAGUUAUCUAUUCAUCGUCUGUGAUCACUAAAAAGUAAUUAGAACACUUCCGUUAAGAUGAUCUGUAUUCUAGGGGCACACAUACUACCAUUGCUUCAUUCCAUAAUAUGAUAGUCAAUUUCUUUCUAACGUAAUUGUCGUGACAGAUUUGUCUUUAUAUAAAUGGAUUUCCGUCCUAUGUAAGGAAUGAAUAUCCACAGCCUUAUUGAAAAAUUAUUAUAGUUUACACUUAAUUUACUCGCAUUUUAUUUAUGAUUUAUUUUAUCCACCUUCUAUAUAUUGAUAUUCGUAACCUAAUUUUUAUUUAAUGACAAAUACACAUGCAAUUUGUAUCAUACAUUAAA
rnacentral:misc_RNA from 1 species